GUGCUCGCUUCGGCAGCACAUACUGUAAAAAUUGGAACAAUACAGAGAAGACUAGCAUGGCCCCUGCACAAGGAUGACACGCAAAUUUGUGAAGUGUUCCAUUAAAAA